GGGCGGCUAGCUCAGUUGGUUAGAGCAACGGAUUUACAUUCCGUAGGUCGUAGGUUCGAGUCCUAUGUCGCCCACCA
rnacentral:tRNA from 1 species